GCCCUUGUAGUAUACUUAUUACACCGGCCUUGUAAGCCGAAAAUGGAGCCCCUCCCCCCUCCCCAGGGCA
rnacentral:tRNA from 1 species